ensembl:lncRNA
AACAAUGAUCAGAUUAGGUCUUUAUUAGCAAAUAUGAGCUGUCAGGUCAGACUCAUGCACUAAAUAGGGUUCAUCCACAGAUUCACCCACUAAACACCCUCGUGACAUUUCAUUCUCAUCUCUUCACCAGAGUAACCUGUUUCUCUCCUGUGUUCUAGGCUGGAUAGCAAAUGGAUGUCUAAACAUAGCGUUUCCUGUUUAUGAAAACAUUACACUACAAUACAGGUAUAGUGGUUUGGAGUUGAACUGCAUUGUAUGCUUUGCUAAGGUACUGUUUGAGCUCAGAUUUGACAGUCCUGCAGUUUUUUAUGUGCAUGUAGUGUCUAAUGAAACGUGCAGAACCUUAGGGAUGUACUUCAAACUGGAGCAAACAAACAUUAUCAUUAUACAAUGGACAGGACAUUUACGUCUGGGGAGGAAUUUCUCUGAGGAAGGAGGAUUUGAAACAUAAAAAGAUGUAGUAUUUGCAAACGUAGCACUUUCAUUUGCUCCACUUAAUAUGCAAAACUGUUAUCUCUGAGCAAUUUAAGCAAGCACAUGAUUACACAAUGAACUGUUUAUAUGAAUAUGUUCCCGGAGCAAAUAAAAUAGGAUAUAUCUGCAUAGAGUACAUUCCUAGCUGGGUAGUCAUACUGGAGGGAUUCUAUGCGUAGUUGUGUUCCAUUUAAAGAUUUGCUAGACAUUGCAUUGUAUUUGACAGACAGAAAAACUGCUGACGUCUUACAAACAUGAGGUGUGGAGCAACAAACCUAAACAAAGACGAGUUUCAGUCAGACACAACAUUCCUACUCCAACAUAAAACUAUAUAAGCAAAUAUAUAAAACUUUAAAGCCAUUUUGUCUCUGCCAGAAACCUCCCAUUAAAUGAUCCUAUUAUGUUCCCUGUGUAGGGCCUAAUAGGUUUGAGCAGCAUUUGGGUUGUUAUCUAAAUUAUGGCCAUGUGUCCCUGCAUUAAACUCAGGACUAAUUUACUUACUCUCCAUUCUAAUUCACACAGGGUCUCCUGAGAGUAAUAUAACAGGCCAUUAGCUAGCCAAAUCACUGCUUGGUAUGGGAUUGCAACAUUUAGUCCAGAUGAGGGAUGUACUGUAUCCCCUGUUCAAGUGGGGAAUGAUGUUCUCCCUCUGCAAUAGCUGCCACAUAGUGUAUUGAGUAUUGUGAAAAAUAAGACCACAAGAGCAGCGCAGAGCGAGGGGUAAGGGCUUGAUUCACAGACAUGUCAGUAAAACUACAACCAUGCCAAAACCAAUCUGGCCGCCUUCUUCAGGUCAAUGACUACUGAAAGCAAAUGUAUUUUUUCUUCUCUAGUCCUCCACACCGUAGAUGGACUAAAUAAUGAUAUCUCAGACCUCUUCUUCUGUUAUAGACAUGAAGAGAAACACUCUAGAGAACGAGAGAUAAAAAUACAUUUGGUUAAAAAUACAUUUGAAAUAUGCAAGCAUACGUACCACAUUGAACGAAGACCAUUGUGAACUUAUUUUAUCUAUAUUUUGAACUUGAACUUGUUUAAUCUAUAGCUAUCUUGUAUCCAUGCCAAACAAAGCCAAUUUAAUUAUUUUCAGUUCAGUUGAAUAGUACUGUUCAUCAGAGGUUUUCACCUCUCUCUCUUCUCAUUUCGAUGCCAAUCUAUUCUUGGUAGGUGUCUCUAAGCUAGUCCUCUUGCUGAAAUACAUGUCUGUCAAUCAUGUUGGCUGAUAAUGCAACCUCCUGUGAGUCACUUUGGGUAUAUAGGCUACACUCACCAAAAAGGUUCCUAAAGGGUUCUUCAGCUGUCCCCAUAGGAUAACCUUUUUUGGUUCCACGGAGAAACCUUUUUGGUUUCAUGUAGAACCUUUUUGCUUUCCAUGUAGAAUCCUCUGUGGAAAGGGUCCUACAUGGAACUUAAAAGGUUUUUACCUGGAACCAAAAAGGGUUCUUCAAGGGGUUCUGCUAUGGGGACAACCAAAGAAACAUUUUAGGUCCUAGAUAGCACCC